UGGGGAAUUUUGGACAAUGGGCGAAAGCCUGAUCCAGCAAUGCCGCGUGUGUGAAGAAGGCCUUCGGGUUGUAAAGCACUUUUGUCCGGAAAGAAAUCCUUGGCUCUAAUACAGUCGGGGGAUGACGGUACCGGAAGAAUAAGCACCGGCUAACUACGUGCCAGCAGCCGCGGUAAUACGUAGGGUGCAAGCGUUAAUCGGAAUUACUGGGCGUAAAGCGUGCGCAGGCGGUUUGCUAAGACCGAUGUGAAAUCCCCGGGCUCAACCUGGGAACUGCAUUGGUGACUGGCAGGCUAGAGUAUGGCAGAGGGGGGUAGAAUUCCACGUGUAGCAGUGAAAUGCGUAGAGAUGUGGAGGAAUACCGAUGGCGAAGGCAGCCCCCUGGGCCAAUACUGACGCUCAUGCACGAAAGCGUGGGGAGCAAAACAGGAUUAGAUACCCUGGUAGUCCACGCCCUAAACGAUGUCAACUAGUUGUUGGGGAUUCAUUUCCUUAGUAACGUAGCUAACGCGUGAAGUUGACCGCCUGGGGAGUACGGUCGCAAGAUUAAAACUCAAAGGAAUUGACGGGGUC
rnacentral:rRNA from 1 species